rnacentral:rRNA from 1 species
UACGGAGGGUGCAAGCGUUAUCCGGAUUCACUGGGUUUAAAGGGUGCGUAGGCGGUCCUAUAAGUCAGUGCUGAAAUAUCCCGGCUUAACCGGGAGGGUGGCAUUGAUACUGCAGGACUUGAGUAAAGUUGAGGUUGGCGGAAUUGACGGUGUAGCGGUGAAAUGCUUAGAUAUCGUCAAGAACACCUAUUGCGAAGGCAGCUAACUAAGCUUUAACUGACGCUGAGGCACGAAAGUGUGGGGAUCAAACAGG